GUGUAAGUUCUCUGUGUAUAAAGGUACAAGUCCUUUUUGAAAUAUAUAUUUUGCAAAUAAAAAAAGAAAUCACUUUUAUAAAGUAAUAGGAACACUGUUAAGAACUUUGACACACUAUCUCCAUUACCAACAAGUAACAAAAUAACAAUGUAAAAAUAUACAAAUAUUUUUUAUUGGUCCUGUCGCAGUCCUAUACUUUCUUACUUUCAUUCCUCAAGAUAUUAUAUGACUCAGGCACAUUUUGCUUUCUAAAAAUAGUUCCACAUAUGCUCACAUCCCAAGUCACAGUCUAUUUCCUCUAUCAUUCCCCAAUUCUCAAGAAUGCAUGGUUCACAACAAGCAAGUAAUCCGGAAUGACUCAAGUUAUCAAAUAAAAAGAAUUUUGUUUGGAGCUCAAAAAAGUCAAUGGGAUUAAUAUCUUAUAAAUAGAGCCAAUAGAAACUCAUAAUAAAAUUCUGACAAUAAAAAAACAAUCCCAUGAAAAUUUCAAAUAAUACUCUAAAAGAUCACUAAGUUUUCAAUAAACUUUUAGUCUAGUAGCUUCUGAUCCUUAAGACUCAAUUUUAGGACUAUAAGGCACAAGACACAUAAAUCAACUUGCUGCCACUGAACACAAGAAGCAGAAGUAGGAGUCAAAGCACACAAGACAACAUUCAAAAAUCAGUGACUUAAUAAGCAAAAUGUCAGCAAACCAAACAGCAUAUUCGAUAGGAAAAUUAUUAACAGAUUAUUAACUCAAGGGCUAAGCCAUGUUAUAAACUGCCUGGAACUGCACUAAUAUGGUAGACACCAAUCACAUGUGUCUAUUUAAAUAUAAAUUUUAAAUAAUUAAAAUUUUAAAAUCACUUUCUCAGUUGCACUAGCUACACUUCAAGUGCUUAUUAGCCAUAUGUGACAAGGAUUUUAAAAACUUUCACCACUGCAGACAUUGUAACAUACAGGGCUGGCCAAGGGUAUUUGGCAGGAACAACUAAAGGGAGCCCUACUUAGCUAAAGUUUGUUUUUUUGCCUUAAAAAAAAAAAAUUAUAUAUACAUAUAUAUGUAUAUAAAAGUAAGGUAAAGAUAAAUAAUGGAAUAUAAAUACUUUCCCUUGGGAGGUACCCACAAUACCGAAAUUAGCUUCAUCAUUUCCUUUCUUUUUAAAAUAGUUUUAGCAAACAUGUUUCCCUAAAAAUGUUUUGUCUCCUUAUUUUUAUUUUACUGGAAUCACACUUUUUCUUUACAUCACAUGUUCCUUUCACUAUUUCCACUGUGAAGUCAUUCUCAUCCACUGGCUACCUGAUAAACUACAGCAAGUUCAGUUUUGUUCAAAAAAGUUAGACCUAAACCAAUGAACUCAUCACCUAAGUAUUAAACCUAUGCAAGUCACCAACAAGGCUUAGGUCUCUAGCGAUUCCAUUUUAAAAAAAGGGGGGGGGGGGGGUUUCAUAUACAUUCAAGUGAUUAUAAACCAAAAUGAGAAUAACUUCCUUGUGCAUCAAAGGCAGAUCUUAGUCACUAUACAUACAUAUAUCUUUUUUUCUUUUUUCUUCAUUGUAGAGCACCAGAUAUCAAGGUGUGGUCCCCUGUGGUCAGAUUACAGGGGAACUUGUUAGAAAUGUAAAUCCUCUGCCCUAUCCCAAAACCACCUAAUCAAAGA
rnacentral:lncRNA from 1 species